UACGGAAGGCAGCAGUGGGGAAUAUUGCACAAUGGGCGAAAGCCUGAUGCAGCUAUGCCGCGUGUAUGAAGAAGGCCUUAGGGUUGUAAAGUACUUUCAUCGGGGAGGAAAAAACAAAACUAAUAAUUUUAUUUCUUGACGUUACCCGAAAAAGAAGCACCGGCUAACUCCGUGCCAGCAGCCGCGGUAAUACGGAGGGUGCUAGCGUUAAUCAGAAUUACUGGGCGUAAAGAGCACGUAGGUGGUUUUUUUAAGUCAGAUGUGAAAUCCCUGGGCUUAACCUAGGAACUGCAUUUUGAAACUGAAAUACUAGAGUAUCGUAGAGGGAGGUAGAAUUCUAGGUGUAGCGGUGAAAUGCGUAGAUAUCUGGAGGAAUACCUGUGGCGAAAGCGGCCUCCUAAACGAAUACUGACACUGAGGUGCGAAAGGCGUGGGGAGCAAACGAGGGAUUAGGAUACC
rnacentral:rRNA from 1 species